GCCGUAGACAGGAGCAGUUGCGGAAUGCAUCUCUUGAAGGCUGGAUUGAAAGAAAAAAGGAUUACUGAAUGAAGUGUGGCCUUUAAGAACAGCUGAGCAAGAUGCAAGCGGGAAUACUGUGAUUAAAGGUAGUACUGAUCCAUGCUGUGGUAAAAUACACAUCAGGGUAAAUUUUCCAUCUGGCUGGUUCUCAGUGAUUUCAGAGGAGGCUGGCAUGGAUACAGGACACUUUGAAGAAGCUGUAGACAGCUCAUGCAAGCCUUAUUCCCGAGCAAGGACUGUAAUAUUUGCUUUACUGUGAGGUCCCAGGUUGGAAACGAAAUGAAAUUCUGAAGAUGUUAUGUCUUCAUCAUAAAGGCCUUAGCCCAUCAAAUGAAGAUGUCCUUGCCUGUACAGAAAAUAUGGGAUGCUAAAAGCUUUCCUGAAAAGUCAUUGAUGACAGUUCAAAGAAAAAAUACACAGAUGCUGUAAGCAGAUACCAAACCAAAUUCAGGAUCUCGCUCUCAACUUUCUAUCUGCAAGUCUGAGCUUGCUCAGCUGGAGAGGCUACCAGAAGCUCCAAGGUAAAAUCAGUAACUUUGCUCCUUGGGCAGAAGUAGACCCUUGACCCAGAACUUAACCCUAAAGCAAUUAAGCACUCACUGGUCAUCAUCUUGGACUGGGCAAAGACACCAAGUUGCAAUGACUACAAGUCAUCAGAG
rnacentral:lncRNA from 1 species